GUAAGGAUGGGGAGUCGGACUGGCCACCUCUCCAAACAAAAGACGCAGACGAAGAGACAGGAUGGUCAGCAGCAACAAGCCAGUAGUGCGCGCCCCCCGCGGAAUACAGCCAGGAAGAGACAGGAAACUUUUGGGGGCUGCUCCAGGGCUCCCGCCUGGGCCACGGAACAGGACCCCAACCCAGGGUCAACGCAGCCGACCGCACGUGGGGCUUGCCAGGGGGUGCAAUGAGCUCCCGGCCAGACGUGCAGGGAGAGGGGGAAGGCACCAAGCGGGACCUGCGGAGAGGAGGGAGGCUGCACGGCUACACAUGGACUGCACUGCAGCAAGCUGAAUAAUUUCAAGCAAUUAACUUUUACCACAUGGCACCAAACUCAGAAAAUUGAUUUACAUCAAUUGAAGAAAAGACUCUUGAAGGGAAAUGAGAAGUAUGUUGCAUUGCAAAACCACCGUUAAAAGUUUCUGGAAGACACGGUCUUCAGAAAAAUUUCAAAGAGGAACACUCCACAGUCUCUUACUACUUGGGACAAGUAGUUCUGAACUGAAACUGAAUACUGCUUCCUAAAAGUAAUAAUGUAAUACACUGCAUUUUAUAGCAAUUUUUGUCUAAGCAUAGUUUGAACAAUAAAUUGAACUUCAACCAUGUGGGGUAUUAGCCCAUGGUUGCCCACUUACUAAUCACA